CACCCACUGCCUACUUAUACACAUUUUAUUUAUCAAACACAACUUCCUCUUCGUCUUGGUAGAUCAGAUCUGUCGGUGCUCCUGCAUUUUCCGCCCACUACUCUUCCAAAUCCUCAUCAUGUACGGCAGAGAUCCGUGGGGAGGUCCCCUGGAGAUAAACGCCACUGAUUCUGCCACUGACGACGACAGGAGCAGGAAUCUGCAGGACCUGGAUAGGGCUGCACUCUCUCGCCCCUUGGACGAGACUCAGCAAAGCUGGCUGCUUGGCCCCGGGGAGCAAAAGAAGAAGAAGAAGUACGUUGAUCUCGGAUGUAUCAUUGUGAGCCGCAAGAUCUUUGUAUGGACCGUGGGGACCCU
rnacentral:lncRNA from 1 species